rnacentral:rRNA from 1 species
GACGAACGCUGGCGGCGUGCUUAACACAUGCAAGUCGAACGGGAAGGCCCUGCUUUUGUGGGGUGCUCGAGUGGCGAACGGGUGAGUAACACGUGAGUAACCUGCCCUUGACUUUGGGAUAACUUCAGGAAACUGGGGCUAAUACCGGAUAGGAGCUCCUGCUGCAUGGUGGGGGUUGGAAAGUUUCGGCGGUUGGGGAUGGACUCGCGGCUUAUCAGCUUGUUGGUGGGGUAGUGGCUUACCAAGGCUUUGACGGGUAGCCGGCCUGAGAGGGUGACCGGCCACAUUGGGACUGAGAUCCGGCCCAGACUCCUACGGGAGGCAGCAGUGGGGAAUAUUGCACAAUGGGCGGAAGCCUGAUGCAGCAACGCCGCGUGCGGGAUGACGGCCUUCGGGUUGUAAACCGCUUUCGCCUGUGACGAAGCGUGAGUGACGGUAAUGGGUAAAGAAGCACCGGCUAACUACGUG